rnacentral:rRNA from 1 species
CUCAGGAUGAACGCUGGCGGCGUAGCUUAACACAUGCAAGUCGAACGGAGUUUUAACGGAAGUUUCGGAUGGAAGUUUAAGAACUUAGUGGCGGACGGGUGAGUAACGCGUGGGUAACCUGCCUCAUACAGGGGGAUAACAGUUAGAAAUGACUGCUAACACCGCAUAAUAUAGCGAAACCGCAUGAUUUUUGCUAUCAAAUAUUUAUAGGUAUGAGAUGGGCCCGCGUCUGAUUAGCUAGUUGGUGGGGUAAAAGCCUACCAAGGCGACGAUCAGUAGCCGGCUUGAGAGAGUGACCGGCCACAUUGGGACUGAGACACGGCCCAAACUCCUACGGGAGGCAGCAGUGGGGAAUAUUGGACAAUGGGGGAAACCCUGAUCCAGCGAACCGCCGCGUGAGUGAAGAAGUAUUUCGGUAUGUAAAGCUCUAUCAGCAGGGAAGAUAAUGACAGUACCUGACUAAGAAGCCCCGGCUAACUACGUGCCAGCCGCAGC